GGAAGGGAGGUGACCUCAGAAGGGGAUCAUCCACCUCAGACCAAGGGCUGGGGAGCCUUGGGACCAACCCUAGAGUCUGGGAGGGUUGGUUUGGUGCUAGUUCUAGCAGCAUCCCUGAUCAAACUUGCUUCCAGAAGGAUGGGCAUCCAGUCGCACCAUGUCUGUGACCAGCAGGAAGAUGGGACUAUCCCUGGCUCAGGAGAUCCUCAGCCACCUGGGCCUUGCCAACAAGAAUGCAGUGAAAGGGAACUGCUGGUCAGCCCUACUAGCCCUGUGCAGGGCUGAAGACCUCUGAGACCUCAUCCCCAUAUGACCUUCAAGAAUCUGAGAUUCCCAUGUAUGGGUGAGCCUGCAGGAGACCAGCUGGGCCUCCAAAUAAAAUAACCCCUCACUUGAGCACCA